AGCGAACGCUGGCGGCAGGCUUAACACAUGCAAGUCGAGCGGGCCCUUCGGGGUCAGCGGCAGACGGAUGAGUAACACGUGGGAACGUACCCUUUGGUUCGGAAUAACGCUGGGAAACUAGCGCUAAUACCGGAUACGCCCUUUUGGGGAAAGGCUUGCUGCCGAAGGAUCGGCCCGCGUCUGAUUAGCUAGUUGGUGGGGUAAUGGCCUACCAAGGCGACGAUCAGUAGCUGGUCUGAGAGGAUGAUCAGCCACACUGGGACUGAGACACGGCCCAGACUCCUACGGGAGGCAGCAGUGGGGAAUAUUGGACAAUGGGCGCAAGCCUGAUCCAGCCAUGCCGCGUGAGUGAUGAAGGCCUUAGGGUUGUAAAGCUCUUUUGUCCGGGACGAUAAUGACGGUACCGGAAGAAUAAGCCCCGGCUAACUUCGUG
rnacentral:rRNA from 1 species